AUUGAACGCUGGCGGCAGGCCUAACACAUGCAAGUCGAACGGUAACAGGAAGCAGCUUGCUGCUUCGCUGACGAGUGGCGGACGGGUGAGUAAUGUCUGGGAAACUGCCUGAUGGAGGGGGAUAACUACUGGAAACGGUAGCUAAUACCGCAUAACGUCGCAAGACCAAAGAGGGGGACCUUAGGGCCUCUUGCCAUCGGAUGCGCCCAGAUGGGAUUAGCUAGUAGGUGGGGUAACGGCUCACCUAGGCGACGAUCCCUAGCUGGUCUGAGAGGAUGACCAGCCACACUGGAACUGAGACACGGUCCAGACUCUUACGGGAGGCAGCAGUGGGGAAUAUUGCACAAUGGGCGCAAGCCUGAUGCAGCCAUGCCGCGUGUAUGAAGAAGGCCUUCGGGUUGUAAAGUACUUUCAGCGGGGAGGAAGGGAGUAAAGUUAAUACCUUUGCUCAUUGACGUUACCCGCAGAAGAAGCACCGGCUAACUCCGUG
rnacentral:rRNA from 1 species